AAGCAUCGGCUAACUCCAAAACCAGCAGCCGCGGUAAUACGGAGGAUGCGAGCGUUAUCCGGAUUUAUUGGGUUUAAAGGGUGCGUAGGCGGGCUUUUAAGUCAGCGGUAAAAAUUCGGGGCUCAACCCCGUCCGGCCGUUGAAACUGGGGGCCUUGAGUGGGCGAGAAGAAGGCGGAAUGCGUGGUGUAGCGGUGAAAUGCAUAGAUCUUAUGAAGGCCCCGGAUUGGGAGGGCAGCCUUCCGGCGCCCUACUGACGUUGGGGCACGAAAGUGCGGGGAUCGAACAGGAUUAGAUACCCUGGUAGUCCGCACAGUAAACGAUGGAUGCCAGCUGUCCGGGCCGAAUGGGGCCUGGGUGGCAAAGCGAAAGCGUUAAGCAUCCCACCUGGGGAGUACGCCGGCAACGGUGAAACUCAAAGGAAUUGACGGGGGCCCGCACAAGCGGAGGAACAUGUGGUUUAAUUCGAUGAUACGCGAGGAACCUUACCCGGGCUCAAACGCGUCAGGGAUCCCCUCUGAAAGGAGGGGAGUCAGCAAUGACCUGGCGCGAGGUGCUGCAUGGUUGUCGUCAGCUCGUGCCGUGAGGUGUCGGCUUAAGUGCCAUAACGAGCGCAACCCCUACCGACAGUUGCUAACUGGUGAAGCAGAGGACUCUGUCGGGACUGCCGGCGCAAGCUGCGAGGAAGGCGGGGAUGACGUCAAAUCAGCACGGCCCUUACGUCCGGGGCGACACACGUGUUACAAUGGCAGGUACAGCGGGAAGCCACCGGGCGACCGGGCGCGGAACCCGAAAACCUGUCUCAGUUCGGAUCGGAGUCUGCAACCCGACUCCGUGAAGCUGGAUUCGCUAGUAAUCGCGCAUCAGCCACG
rnacentral:rRNA from 1 species